AGACAGCAUCUCAUCUUACGUGGGAGGAAGGAACAUCAAACCUCAAAAUAAAUUGGAGCUUCAGACCAGAAUCUCUUCCUUUUCUCUCCGCCCCAUAACAACUUCCAUCUCCUCAAAAGAUCAACACCAGCAGCAACCUCGCUUCAAUAAAAAUAAUAAUAUUUUCUUUUUCUUUUUCUAAAAAGUUAAUUAAUUUUACUACAAUUCUCAUAAUAAUCAUCGUCCUCUGUAAAACAAAGAGAAGAGAAGAGACGGUUUUUCUUUCACAAACCUCUCUCAACUCCUCAGGUACCCACACCUCUUCCAUCACUUCACCUCUCUUUUUUUUUUCUUUUGCAUGUAAUUACCUUGUUUUAUAAUUUCUUUUUGUAAGUAGGAUUGGAUUUAUGUAAUUUUGGCGUAAUUAAUGGUUUCAUUAAUUUGAAUUUAAAGUUUUAUACUCUUUUUCUUUAUUAAGUGAUGUUUUUUUCACUGUUAAUAUUUGAAAAAUUCUGAUCCUUUUAGUGAAGGAGUUUGUUUAGAAUUUUGGAUAUUGACCUUUGGAUUGAAUAAAGUAUUGAUGUCUUCGUUUUGAAUUUUUUUUUUUGGUGAAUUUGAAGGACUCUGUUAUUGUUCAUAGCCUGAGAAAGUGGUAAGCUUUUGACUUUAAGAAUGAGAAGAAGUGUUCGAUGCGCACGCCAACUUCUAUCAGCUUUUCAAGACCAAGAUUACAGUUACUCUUUUAGUUUGGUGGUGAAAAGACGAGAAAACCAUUCUAUACAUACCAACUAUAGCACUCGUGUUUCAAGAUUUACAUNNNN
rnacentral:lncRNA from 1 species